rnacentral:rRNA from 1 species
UACCAUGACGACAACGGCCUCAAGGAGCUGGAGGAGCACUGCCCGGCCGUGCGCUUCGACGAGCUCUCCGUAUCCAACGACGGCACCAGCGCCGGGAUGCCCAUCCUCCCAGAGGGAUGCGUGGUGUGCCUCAGCGACUUCCACGGCACCGCGCGUGUGCGCCGGCCGCGGCGGUGCCGGCACGUCUUUCACUUUGGCUGCCUCGACCGCUGGGCCGCUCACGGCCAGAGAACCUGCCCGCUCUGCCGGGCUCCGUUCCUCCCGCCCUUCCUCCUGCCCAUGCCAGUCCCGACGUCGUGA